AUCCAAGAGAGUUUCUGAAAACAAAAAGCCCCAUGGAAAACCUUAUUUUUCUGCCCCUUGUGAAAUAUUUCCAUAGUUGGUGCCUAUCAGUCAUACAUUUCCAGAGGCUGAAAGGCCAGCUCUUUAUUUUCAUCACCUAAGAAGCUUCUAAGGUAAAGCAGCCAUUUCCACUUUGAUCCUAAUCCUUCCUGCAAACCAUUUGGGCUGUCAUCACUAUACCUUGACAUUACUCAUUCUACACCCUUCUCUUUUUCAGGGAAUAUAGGGUUAUCAUACAUAAGAAAUUCCAGUGGCCAGUUCCUUGGGAACCUCCAUAGUCUCAGCUCUGUAAUUAAAAGCAGAAUAAAUUGUCAGGAGCUCCACAACAUGUUGGAUAUACCACUCCUUUCAAAAGCUGAACCACCAACUCUGCUUGUGAGAAAACAACUCCUGGCAACUUUUGCCAUACCAGAUAAAAAGCAGUGUUAGCUUCUGUAUUUUGGAAGCUCUGAAAUACUGAGAAUGAAGUCCUGGGAUACUUGGUUAUUUCUACUGCAGCUGAUACAGCACCAAAUUUAACAUAAGAAGAUUUUUUAAAGAAGAGGUUUUAUUUUGUGAUAGCAGUUGUAUAAGGAAGCAGUAACAAAUUUUCACCACUUCUAGUUUUAUUUUCCCAUGUGAAUUAAUGUGUUUCCAAAUCAAUGAUGGAUUAUCCAGUUAUCAAAGGUUUAAACAUAAACCAAACCAUUCUGAAAUUGGGACAUCUCAGGACUAAGUCCAGAACGCUGCAGGAAGUGUAUGUUUGCCUAAAUGAUUUAUAACAUCAGGAAGCUGAGGUACUGUGGACGAGAUCUGGCCUUUGCAGUGUGUGACCUGAUGGAACCUUCAAGUUGCAGAUGGCAGCCAAAAAAGUCUCAUGUACUUCAGAGAGAAGCUAACUGUAUAUCCCUGCAUAAUGAAUAAACAAACAUCAAAUUCUACAUUUUGCUGCAUAUUACCAGGUGCAGGUUACCGAUGUACAUUGAGUAUACAUAUACACAUCCAUACGUACAAGUUCU